rnacentral:rRNA from 1 species
GAUGAACGCUGGCGGCGUGCCUAAUACAUGCAAGUCGAGCGAACAGACGAGGAGCUUGCUCCUCUGACGUUAGCGGCGGACGGGUGAGUAACACGUGGAUAACCUACCUAUAAGACUGGGAUAACUUGGGAAACCGGAGCUAAUACCGGAUAAUAUAUUGAACCGCAUGGUUCAAUAGUGAAAGACGGUUUUGCUGUCACUUAUAGAUGGAUCCGCGCCGCAUUAGCUAGUUGGUAAGGUAACGGCUUACCAAGGCGACGAUGCGUAGCCGACCUGAGAGGGUGAUCGGCCACACUGGAACUGAGACACGGUCCAGACUCCUACGGGAGGCAGCAGUAGGGAAUCUUCCGCAAUGGGCGAAAGCCUGACGGAGCAACGCCGCGUGAGUGAUGAAGGUCUUCGGAUCGUAAAACUCUGUUAUUAGGGAAGAACAAAUGUGUAAGUAACUAUGCACGUCUUGACGGUACCUAAUCAGAAAGCCACGGCUAACUACGUG